rnacentral:rRNA from 1 species
UACGUAGGGUGCGAGCGUUGUCCGGAAUUAUUGGGCGUAAAGAGCUCGUAGGCGGUUUGUCGCGUCGACUGUGAAAACCCGAGGCUUAACCUCGGGCCUGCAGUCGAUACGGGCAGACUAGAGUUCGGUAGGGGAGACUGGAAUUCCUGGUGUAGCGGUGAAAUGCGCAGAUAUCAGGAGGAACACCGGUGGCGAAGGCGGGUCUCUGGGCCGAUACUGACGCUGAGGAGCGAAAGCUAGGGGAGCAAACGGG